AGUCCCAAAACAGGUUGCUCUUACCAUACGAGAGCCACUUCCGGUUGUUCAAAAAGCUGCCCGUCCUCAGCUAUCUGUGACCACAUCAGACAAUAACAAAGAAAAAGGAAAGGAUUUAUGCACGUCCUCUGUCAUUAGUGAAACAGGGAGCGUAUCCAACACAUCUAACCAAGCUCUUCAGAUCCAAAAUACAAUUCCAACCAAAGGUCCGCACAAAUCUUACAAUACA